AGCGAGUGAUGUCAAGUAAAGGAGUAAAUGGAGAGUCCCAGAAGGAUAAUGGAGUUUGCUUUCCGGAACAUACGAGUGCUCUUGGGAGCCAGGAAUCUAUUCUUCUAAGUGCCCCUGAAAUACUGGCCCAGCUUCUUCAUGGAGUGGCACGGGGCAGAAUUGCU
rnacentral:lncRNA from 1 species